rnacentral:tRNA from 1 species
GCCUGGGUGGCUGAGUCAGUUAAGGGUCUGACUUUGGCUCAGGUCACGAUCUCAUGGUUCGUGGGUUCGAGCCCCACAUCGGGCU